rnacentral:rRNA from 1 species
GUGAGGAAUAUUGGACAAUGGGCGCAAGCCUGAUCCAGCCAUGCCGCGUGCAGGAAGACGCAUCUAUGGUGUGUAAACUGCUUUUGUACGGGAAGAAACACUCCCUCGUGAGGGAGCUUGACGGUACCGUAAGAAUAAGGAUCGGCUAACUCCGUGCCAGCAGCCGCGGUAAUACGGAGGAUCCAAGCGUUAUCCGGAAUCAUUGGGUUUAAAGGGUCCGUAGGCGGUUUGAUAAGUCAGUGGUGAAAGCCCAUCGCUCAACGAUGGAACGGCCAUUGAUACUGUUAGACUUGAAUUACAAGGAAGUAACUAGAAUAUGUAGUGUAGCGGUGAAAUGCUUUGAUAUUACAUGGAAUACCAAUUGCGAAGGCAGGUUACUACUUGUGGAUUGACGCUGAUGGACGAAAGCGUGGGGAGCGAACAGGAUUAGAUACCCUUGUAGUCC